AUUGAACGCUGGCGGCAGGCCUAACACAUGCAAGUCGAACGAGUGGCGGACGGGUGUGUAAUGUCUGGGCAACUGCCUGAUGGAGGGGGAUAACUACUUGAAACGGUAGCUAAUACCGCAUACCAUCAGAUCUGCCCAGAGGGGAUUAGCUAGUUGGUGGGGUAACGGCUCACAAAGGCGACGAUCCCUAGCUGGUCUGAGAGGAUGACCAGCCACACGGGAACUGAGACACGGCCCAGACUCCUACGGGAGGCAGCAGUGGGGAAUAUUGCACAAUGGGCGCAAGCCUGAUGCAGCCAGGCCGCGGGUAUGAAGAAGGCCUUCGGGUUGUAAAGUACUUUCGGCGGGGAGGCGUUACCCGCAGAAGAAGCACCGGCUAACUCCGUGCCAGCCGCCGCGGUAAUAC
rnacentral:rRNA from 1 species